CGCGGCCUAUCAGCUUGUUGGUGAGGUAACGGCUCACCAAGGCGAUGACGGGUAGCUGGCGUGAGAGCGCGACCAGCCACACUGGGACUGAGACACGGCCCAGACUCCUACGGGAGGCAGCAGUGGGGAAUAUUGCGCAAUGGGCGAAAGCCUGACGCAGCAACGCCGCGUGAGGGAAGACGGCUCUCGGGUUGUAAACCUCUUUCAGCAGGGACGAAAUUGACGGUACCUGCAGAAGAAGCGCCGGCCAACUACGUGCCAGCAGCCGCGGUAACACGUAGGGUGCAAGCGUUGUCCGGAUUUAUUGGGCGUAGAGAGCUCGUAGGCGGUUUCGUAAGUCGGGUGUGAAAACUCAGGGCUCAACUCUGAGACGCUACCCGAUACUGCGAUGACUUGAGUCCGGUAGAGGAGUAGGGAAUUCCUGGUGUAGCGGUGAAAUGCGCAGAUAUCAGGAGGAACACCAGUAGCGAAGGCGCUACUCUGGGCCGGUACUGACGCUGAGGAGCGAAAGCAUGGGGAGCGAACAGGAUUAGAUACCCUGGUAGUCCAUGCCGUAAACGUUGGGCACUAGGUGUGGGUCUCAUCCAACGAGAUCUGUGCCGUAGCUAACGCAUUAAGUGCCCCGCCUGGGGAGUACGG
rnacentral:rRNA from 1 species